ensembl:misc_RNA Metazoa_SRP Metazoan signal recognition particle RNA
GCCGGGCAUGGUGGCACGUGCCUGUAGUUCCAGCUACUUGGGAGGCUGAGGCUGGAGGAUCGCUUGAGUCCAGGAGUUCUGGGCUGUAGUGCGCUAUGCCAAUCGGGUGUCUGCACUAAGUUCAGCAUCAAUAUGGUGACCUCCCGGGAGCGAGGGAGCACCAGGUUGCCUAAGGAGAGGUGAACCAGCCCAGGUCGGAAAUGGAGCAGGUCAGAACUCACGUGCUGAUCAGUACUGGAAUGGCGCCUGUGAAUAGCCACUGCACUCCAGCCUGGGCAACAUAGUGAGACCCUGUCUCUA